rnacentral:lncRNA from 13 species
UUAUGUAAUAAAAAUGACUAUGCGGAACAGUUUGUAUAUGACAAAGAGUGUGUUGAAGCUGUUCUUCCCUGAAUUCUUAUUAGAGAAGUUUACACUUGGGAGCAAAUGUUCAUAACACUUCAUUUUGUCAAAUAGGGGAGAAGAAAGAGGCAAGAUGGCUUCUUGCAGUGCUGCAUCAGUACUCAAAAAGCCAAAUUGCUUUAGGCCUGUCAUUUUGUUGACUUUUACAGAAAGAUAGCUGUGUAAAGUUAGAGCGCUGUUGGGUUAGCUUGCAGACCCUGUUCUCAUAUUCUCAAAUCCAUGCUACAAAACCAGAAGAAACAGCCAUCUUCCAUGUCUUUAUAGUACACAUCCAGAAGCCAAAAGAAAUAAAGAAUAAAGCCAAAACCCAAUGCAUACACACACACAAAUAUAUAUAUGUACAUAUGUGUGUGUGUGUAAUUGUUCUAUAUUUUACUUGGAAAAUAAUUUAGAGAAACAUCAUUAGCGCCCAAGAUUGCAUGGCAAUGAAUUUGCUUCUUUGUACUCUAUGCCAUUUAAAUUGUUUUACAUUCUUAUCUGCAAUUUUGUGACCAUGUUAUAAAUAACCUUCUGAAUGACACAAAUCUUUAUUAAAUGCUUUUUCAGGUUGAAGUUUUCAUGUUGUUUCUAUGAUAGAGAAGAAAAUAUGCCAUCAUGGGAAAAGGGAGUCUACACUGUUCAAAUUUACACGAUCUGCAUUGGAGUCAUUUUCCUGAAGGCAGUUUAAGGGUUGAGGAAUACGGCGAAUGUCUGAAAGACGAGUAUAUAUUUUAAAAACAGGGGCGUAGGUACAUGGUUUAAUAGAAAAAUACUAGCAGAUAUAACUGAUUUUUUCAGAUGUCACACUAUUGCAACUAAAGAGAAAAUUCGCUCUCUUUGGACCUCUCUAUUCAUACGGUGUAAGAUUUCUGUUCACACUGAAAUAGAUGGAGUGGAGUAAAACAACCACAGUAGGGCUGUGGGGAGAAUGCUUCCAAGAUAGUGAAACACCGAUUGCGAUUGGCAAUAAUUGGUAAAAGCUUGGUUGUUUCUGGGAAACAUUUUCUAUCCG